rnacentral:lncRNA from 1 species
GGGGUAUGUGUUGACAUUCUGUUGCGCAUGAUGUUCGUACUGGUCCAUUCGUCGCAGGAGGUGCGUUUUGUUCCAAAAAAGGAUGCCCAGCUUGCUGAAAACAGAUAAAUAAAAUAUAAAAAUCAAGAUUGUCAAAUGCCAGCCAGAAUAUUAAUAAAAUAUGAAUAUAAUAAACUAAUGGGGUUGAACAAAAAAAAAACCUAAAAAUCUAAACUACGAAGAAACCUUGUUGAGUAUAAUCAAUACCAUCAACAUAUAGAAAUGAUUAUAUGAAAAAAAAAAAACAUGCAAUUUUGACUAGUGCUAAUUCAGUUGUAAACAUCUCUCUACUUGAGCAAAUGGUGGAUAAAUAAGAAAAUGUCUAAUGGGUUAGGUUCAUUUGUGAACAACCGCCUUGAUAGUGAACUGUGGUAACUAAUCCUAGCCCUUGAUUAUCAAUACACAAGUGUAAAUCAACGGCCAGGAUUUGAUGAUGAAAAUACACUAGUGUAUUUUAUGAUUUGAUGAUGUAAAUCAAUGGCCAGGAUUUGUUCACUCAGUUCACAAAUACACUAGUGUUCACUCUAGAACACCACUCUAUAUAUAUAUAGGGCUAGGGUAAAAUAAAAACUCCUACGAGUUGAGAGAGCUUAGAGAACUCGGUCAAAACGAGCCUAUAUAUAUAGGUUAGGGAUCCUAAGAGAAAUACUAAGCGCACCUUUUUAAGGUUUUUUUCUUUUUGGAAUUGUGCACAUGUUUAUAUUGUCAAUUUUUAAAUUAUACAUGUGUGUGUAUUAGUAAACACAAAUGUAUAAUUAAAAUUGACAAUAUACACGUCUAUAAUC